AAUAACUUUAUUUUUCGUUUUUCAUAUCCAACGUUAACCAUUUAUCUUAUUUAAAAUUUUUCUACGAUUAAUAUUUUUAUUAUUACUAGAUGAUAAAAUAUGAAUAGUACUUUAUACGUGACUAAUUUUUUAAAGAUUUUAUAUAUUUUUUAAAUAAGACGAAUUAUCAAACAUUAGACACGGAAAA
rnacentral:pre_miRNA from 1 species